AUUCCUAAGAAAGAAGGCUCUUCAACGGCAAACGACUUCCAACCUAUUAGUCUCAUCAAUAGUGUACAGAAAAUCAUAUCUAAAGUUCUUGCCAACAGAUUAGCAGAUGAAAUGAAAGACAUUAUAUUAUUAACUUAAAUAUCCAGACCCGAAUCCGACCCGAAGUUAAAGGGGUAGGGUACAUACUUUUUUUCUGCCCAUUUCUUUUUCGGGUACGGGUACAGUAUAUUAAGUAUCGAGACUCAUCCGGUCUAUGGACACCUUUACCUCUAAGUGUGAUAAAUAAAAAUUUCGCAAACU
rnacentral:lncRNA from 1 species